CAGAAAAGGUUGUGAAAGUGACUGUUGAUUGGUGGUGCUAGGGAAUUCUUCAUCAGUCAGUAACAUCAUAGGCAGCUUUGGGGACUUCCAGAAUGUUGGCAAACACAGCUCCAGCUGGUAUGGGGACUGGUGCUUCUCCAUGAGCAGAAUGGCAAAGUCUAUGUAUCCAUUGUGAACAGCUGCACUUACAUUUGUGUUUGCUGUAAAACAAAACUAGGGGAAACUGUUUUGUCAUUGCCAUUUCUGUUCUUUUCAGCAAACAACAAAAAAGCCAAACAAAACCAACCGCACAACCAAAUGAGAAAACCCCCAGAAUCCCAGCAAGCAGUCUCUAAAGCUCUAGUACUAAGAAGUACAUUAGAAAGCUGGGAGAAUCCAAAUUUAAAUGCUUCAUCUUCAGUACUUAUUGGAGAGAAUUUUUACCAUAGCUGCAUACAGCAUGAAAACUUGUAACAGGGUAGGAGGAUGAGAUUUGGAGAACCUGGAGCUGGAACUUAAGGCAAUAUUCAGGCGGUGAUUAUGCAAUUGUUGCAUAACAUGGAGAGUGCUUGCAUGAAUAAUCCUAUUAACAUUAGAGUUUCACAAUCAGGCAAAUGAACAUGGCACUGUUCAAAAUCAUCUGUAUUUAAUGGUGGAAAAAUCAGCAAAAUCACCAUUAGUAAAACAAUGAUCUCAUUAAAUAUAUUCUUUCUCAGUGGGGGAUAAGAGUGGAAGAACAUCAGAGGAAAGAAUAGAGGAAAACAUUUUCUCAGCUUAGAUAUAGUAGUAAGGGUUUGUUUCAAUGGUUUCCUUUGAGAAAGAGAAAUGAUGGGG